rnacentral:rRNA from 1 species
CCUACGGGAGGCAGCAGUAGGGAAUAUUGCUCAAUGGGGGAAACCCUGACGCAGCAACGCCGCGUGGAGGAUGAAGGUUUUCGGAUUGUAAACUCCUUUUGUUAGAGAAGAUAAUGACGGUAUCUAACGAAUAAGCACCGGCUAACUCCGUGCCAGCAGCCGCGGUAAUACGGAGGGUGCAAGCGUUACUCGGAAUCACUGGGCGUAAAGAGCGCGUAGGCGGGAUAGCAAGUCAGAUGUGAAAUCCUAGGGCUUAACCAUAGAACUGCAUUUGAAACUGUUAUUCUAGAGUAUGGGAGAGGUAUGUGGAAUUCUUGGUGUAGGGGUGAAAUCCGUAGAGAUCAAGAGGAAUACUCAUUGCGAAGGCGACCUGCUAGAACAUAACUGACGCUGAUGCGCGAAAGCGUGGGGAGCAAACAGGAUUAGAUACCCGAGUAGUC